UACGUAGGUGGCAAGCGUUGUUCGGAAUUAUUGGGCGUAAAGGGCGCGUAGGCGGUUUGUUAAGUCGGUUGUGAAAGCCCGGGGCUCAACCCCGGAGGGUCAACCGAUACUGGCAGGCUAGAGUACAGAAGAGGUAGCUGGAAUUCCCGGCGUAGCGGUGAAAUGCGUAGAUAUCGGGAGGAACACCUGAGGCGAAGGCGGGCUACUGGGCUGAUACUGACGCUGAGGCGCGAAAGCCAGGGGAGCAAACGGG
rnacentral:rRNA from 1 species